AAUGAACGUUGGCGGCGUGGAUUAGGCAUGCAAGUCGUACGCACAGCAAUGUGAGUGGCGCAAGGGUGAGUAAUGCGAAGGUAACCAACCCUGGAGUUGGGCAUAACUGCGGGAAACUGCAGGUAAUUCCCAGCGAUGUCAUGAGGUGGCAUCAUCUUAUGACCAAAGGUGUGAUUCCGCUCUAGGACGGGCCUUCGUGGUAUUAGCUAGUUGGUGGGGUAACGGGCCUACCAAGGCUACGAUGCCUACCGGGUGUGAGGGCAUGACCCGGCACGACUGGAACUGAGACACUGUCCAGACACCUACGGGUGGCUGCAGUCGAGAAUCUUCGGCAAUAGGGCGAAAGACCUGACCGAGCGACGCCGCGUGAGGGAUUGAAGGCCUU
rnacentral:rRNA from 1 species